GCAGUUUCUCCCCAGCUGAUAAUGAUUUGUCCUCCUUCCUGUUCCUGGCCCUCCUCCCCCUCCCUCCUUCCCUUCUGCCCUGUUUCUCCGCCCGCCCCCCCUCCCGCCCCACAGGUGUGCCCAUUGAUCCACCUCUUGGUCUCCACCGUGGAUGAACAUAUUUUACAUGACAUCAUUGAUAAACUUCCAAAGGACAGCAAACCGCAAGCUGCUGCCUGAAGAGGGGCAUGAGGAGGGCUUCUGUGAUGCCCAACCAAAGCUCAGUUCCCAGUGGCUUGACUGUGCCCCACGUAGCAUCUCCAUCUGGUAAGGUACAGCCACCAUCCAACCAGAGUGACAGCCUAAGUUCAGCCAGAAGGAGCCCUCGCAGAUCCUUCUCCUCAUGGUUGGGACAGCAGCCUCUGUGCUCACCGCCCUCCACCCCCUGCAAUAAAAAAACAAUUUCUGCA